rnacentral:rRNA from 1 species
AGUGAACGCUGGCGGUAGGCCUAACACAUGCAAGUCGCACGGCAGCACAGUAAGAGCUUGCUCUUACGGGUGGCGAGUGGCGGACGGGUGAGGAAUACAUCGGAAUCUACUUUUUCGUGGGGGAUAACGUAGGGAAACUUACGCUGAUACCGCAUACGACCUACGGGUGAAAGCAGGGGAUCUUCGGACCUUGCGCGAUUGAAUGAGCCGAUGUCGGAUUAGCUAGUUGGCGGGGUAAAGGCCCACCAAGGCGACGAUCCGUAGCUGGUCUGAGAGGAUGAUCAGCCACACUGGAACUGAGACACGGUCCAGACUCCUACGGGAGGCAGCAGUGGGGAAUAUUGGACAAUGGGCGCAAGCCUGAUCCAGCCAUACCGCGUGGGUGAAGAAGGCCUUCGGGUUGUAAAGCCCUUUUGUUGGGAAAGAAAAGCAGCAGGUUAAUACCCCGCUGUUCUGACGGUACCCAAAGAAUAAGCACCGGCUAACUUCGUG